ACGAUGGGUCGUGUUCCACCUUCGGGAUCACUAAAUUAUCCUGGGGAAAGUCCCCGGGCACUUGAUAGAGAUAUCCAGAGCAUAAAGCUCUGCUUCAUUCUUUACAUACUUCCAUCAAAGCUGGGAUUUUAUAUGAGCUGGGAAGGUAGAAGAAGUGAGACUGCCAUAUCAUAGUUAAAUGUGGAAGCUCCCGUUUCGGAGUAACUCAAUGGGGAUUACACCGACACGUCG
rnacentral:RNase_MRP_RNA from 1 species